GACGAACGCUGGCGGCGUGCUUAACACAUGCAAGUCGAACGGAAAGGCCCUGCUUUUGUGGGGUGCUCGAGUGGCGAACGGGUGAGUAACACGUGAGUAACCUGCCCUUGACUUUGGGAUAACUUCAGGAAACUGGGGCUAAUACCGGAUAGGAGCUCCUGCUGCAUGGUGGGGGUUGGAAAGUUUCGGCGGUUGGGGAUGGACUCGCGGCUUAUCAGCUUGUUGGUGGGGUAGUGGCUUACCAAGGCUUUGACGGGUAGCCGGCCUGAGAGGGUUACCGGCCACAUUGGGACUGAGAUGCGGCCCAGACUCCUACGGGAGGCAGCAGUGGGGAAUAUUGCACAAUGGGCGGAAGCCUGAUGCAGCAACGCCGCGUGCGGGAUGACGGCCUUCGGGUUGUAAACCGCUUUCGCCUGUGACGAAGCGUGAGUGACGGUAAUGGGUAAAGAAGCACCGGCUAACUACGUG
rnacentral:rRNA from 1 species